GUUUAGGGACUUAUCUUGAAUGAUGUCAUGUGCCGUUUCCACCAAUAGAAGCCCUGGAUGAUCUGAGUAGAAGCUCAAACACUUUAACAGAGAUCUGGAAUUGCAGGUCAGGAUAUUUGACAGACAAGAUUUCGCAUCUUCUGCUUUCUUUAUUGCAGUGAAGUCCCCUUGGAACUUCUACGUGACAGUUUUGGCAUGUCUGAUACCAACAACAGUGCAGAUCUUUCUUUGUCUAUCUGGGCCAGCCUUGGUUCCUCUUGGAUGGCUUCUAGUUUGCAAAAUGUUGCAUUUCCAGAAGCUUCUCUUUGAUGUGUGGCGCCGGAUGUGGGAUACGUUUUCUGAUAUUCCAAAGAGAACCCAGUUAUUGUCCUGUUGAAAGGUGAAAUAAUCUCCCAGUGUCUGGUGGAAAGCAGACUGAACCAGGUUUUCCUCUAGGAUUUUGCCUUUUGCACGGAACUCCAUUCCGUUUAUUUUUUAUCCUGAAAAACUCCCCAGUCCUUAACAAUUACAAGCAUACCCAUAACAUGAUGCAGCCACAACUAAUGUUGGAUAUGUGGAGAAUGGUACUCAGUAAUGUGUUGUAUUGUAUUUGCCCCAAACAUAACACUUUGUAUUCAGGACAAAAAGUGAAUUGCUUUGCCACAUUUUUUGUAGUGUUACUUUAGUUCCUUGUUUCAAACAGAACGCAUGUUUAGGAAUAUUUUUUAUUCUCUACGGGCUUCCUUCUUUUCACUCUGUCAAUUAGGUUAGUAUUAUGGAGUAACUACAAUGUUGUUGAUCCAUCCCCAGCUGUCUCCUAUCACAGCCAUUAAACUCUGUAACUGUUUUAAAGUCACCAUUGGCCUUAUGGUGAAAUCCCUGAGCGGUUUCCUUCCUCUCCGGCAACUGAGUUAGGAAGGAUUCCUGUAUCUUUGUUGUGACUGGGUGUAUUGAUACACCAUCCAAAGUGUAAUUAAAAACUUCACCAUGCUCAAAGGGAUAUUCAAUGUCUGUUUUUUAAAAAUUGUAUUAUUAAAACAUUUUUUGUAAGGCAUUGGAAAACCUCCCUGGGUCUUUGUGGUUGAAUCUAGUUUUUAAAUUCACUGCUUGACUGAGGGACCUUACAGAUAAUUGUAUGUGAUUGGUACAGAGUUGAGGCAGUCAUUCAAACAUCAUGUUAAACACAUUAUAUUAUUAUAUUAUAUAUUAUAUUAUAUUAUUAUAUUAUAUAUUAUAUUAUAUUAUUCAAACACAGAGUCCAUGCAACGUGUGUGACUUGUUAAGCUUUUUUUUAUAACCUUUAGGAAAUAAGGAAACUUAUUUUCAUUUUCUACAAAUUAAUUAACAUUAUUAUUAUUUAAACAUUCCAAUUUAAUACAUUUUUAAUUCAGGCGGUAACACAACGGGGAAAAAGGUCAAGCAGUGUUAAUGCUUUCUGAAGGUACUGUACAGUAUGGACUGUAUGGGGGACAGAGGAAGG
ensembl:lncRNA